rnacentral:rRNA from 1 species
CACGUAGGGCGCAAGCGUUGUCCGGAAUUAUUGGGCGUAAAGAGCUCGUAGGCGGCUUGUCGCGUCGGCUGUGAAAACCCGCAGCUCAACUGUGGGCUUGCAGCUGAUACGGGCAGGCUUGAGUUCGGUAGGGGAGACUGGAAUUCCUGGUGUAGCGGUGAAAUGCGCAGAUAUCAGGAAGAACACCUAUGGCGAAGGCAGCACUCUGGGACGGUACUGACGCUGAGACGCGAAAGCGUGGGGAGCGAACAGG